GUUGACAUUUCAGGGUUAAACAUUUCCGAGUUGAUUUCAACUCACGAAGUGUUACUUUAACAUUUUCUGAUUGAAAUGUGUUUUUAUUGUUGGAGUUAUUUCACAGUGUUAAUCAUGUCAGAGUUAGACCAACGCUGCAGAGACGUGAUUAUGCUCCGCCCCUGUAUGUCACUGCUUCGGUUGGAAACGACACCACGACAAUAAAAAUGUUGGUCCAGGUGAAGUACAGACAAUGGCAGAAUCGUUGAGAGAUUCUGCCUGCCACCUGAUGCAAAAGUUGUAUACAAGGAUGCAACGGAGACAGAAGUCAAUACAGAAAUAUUCAGAGACCUCAUUGGACGAGGCAACGUGGUGCUGACAGUUUUCUCAGUUCUCUGAAUGGUCCUUUUCCCUCUGCUUCUGAUGAGUCCGAUUCAAGCUUCAGCUCAAGAGCAUCAACUGCGAAUGUCGAUGAGGUUCCGAGCAAGAGACAAAGAAUCGGGGAUACACUUGAUGCAGUGUCUGCUAAACGGGUUAAUAUCUCCUCUCGGGCACAUCACCACUAAAGCUAUAAGAGAAGAGUAUGCUCUUGGGAUAGUGACGCCGUUCCCUUCCCUCAAGGAUCCAUAUACCAAGAAACUUAUUUCAGGAACACUUCCAUGAUGCUGCAAGCAGCACAGGAUAAAUUUCUUGGUGUCUCAAAGCAAUCCAACGAAAGAUUUGUCGAGGAUCUGCACCAUCACCAAAUAGCCCUAUGGACACUUCUCCCAAAUGUCCAACGAGCUGUUAAUGUAGAAAGACAGCUGGAUGCGGAUGCUUGCCAAGAGGACAUGUCUUUGCUCAACCAUACCACAGACAAUUCCCUGAUUUUUCAGAAAAUGAGAGAAACCUUUCAGCACCGUCUGAAGCUUGUUAAUGACCCAAGCAGAGGUGUUGAUAGCCUCUCCGCCUUACCAAGAUUCCUGGAUAGCAAAGGAUUGGUGGAUCAAGACUUCACCCUCCUAUUUGAUCAUGAAACAUCCUCCAGGCUCCUUCAGAAAUGGGAUGUGUUCUUCAGUCCAAAUGUCAUAAAAGAGGCUAAGCGGUUUACUUCAACACCCAGAGUUGCGUCGCUUGUUGCAGUCAGCAGAGUCCCACAGGAAGUGAUCUUGAUGAGACGACAAGUGAGUUGUAUUAGCUUGUUUAAAGCACUUGCCAUAUCUCCAAAAAUACUUUGUCUUUCAUAAGGUAAUUAUAUUAUUAAGGUGAUUAUAAUUGUCACGUCACCUUCUUAGCCACAUGUGUAAAAGAGGGUUGUUAAAAAGUGAAUGAAAUUGAAAUGAAGUCUUCACAAGCAUUCCCAUCUUGCACUAGCAGUAAGAUGUUUGAAUAACUGAUCACUUCUAUAAUGUAGUUUUCUCUGUGGCUGCACAUUAUUCUUGUGCGUAAUGUUCGGUUUCUUUAAACAUCUUAAUCAUCUCAUCCCACGCCAGGCAAACCGCUCCCUACCUUGGGUCUUUGGACAAACUUUCCAAAACCCAUUUUGUGUUUAAUUUGUCGCACAAUGCUGCGUUACUGAAUUGUUACACAUUCUUGCAGACAACAGUGUAACAGUGAUGUGAUGUGGGGAAAAUGAAGGAGUCACCAGUCAGAGACUUGAGAGCCAGACUGCUUGACCAGCUAGUACCGGUCUCAGUCUCUGAGUAAGAGGCUAAAACAAUACUGACCGGUUUCAUGUGUCAGAAUUUGUAUCCCAGCAGCAACUGGAACCGUUGAUAAAUUAUAUAAAAUUACUGGAAACCCAAGGCCUUAGUCUUAGUAGUCUGUGUAGUGUUUGAUUGAGAGGAAUGAUUCUCAAACAGUAUACAAUGAGGAAGAUCCCAAAGUGAUCCUUCAUGGAAAAAAUAUGUUUGAUAUGCAUUACAAAUGUCUCCAAGACAACCCACAAUUGAACUCUGUAUGGGUUGAAAAAGACUUCUACACUUAACUCAUUGAAGUAUUACCAUGUUUGAAAUAAUUGCUCAUUUGAUAUAAUGCAUGACCUUCUUGAGGGUGUGACUCAGAGUGAGAUCAAAUUGCUUUUUGAAUAUUUCACAAAAGACUUAAUAUCACAGCAGAACUUGCUUUCCAGGAUUGAUGGUUUUGACUACGGAUUUUUAGAACGAAAGAAACGUCCCACAAAGAUAAUUUUGGACAGUGCUGGCAAUGGCAUUGGUUUGAAUUCCAUUCAGACAUUGUGUCUUGUGAAAAACAUCCCCCUGUUUGGUGACAUUAUUCCUGCAGGAAACGAAAACUGGAAUGUGUUAUUGUUGUUACUUAAAAUAAUGAACAUGGUUGUUUCACUUUUUCUCACUCUAGGUACGACAAUAUAUUUAAAGCAUUUGAUUGUUGUCACAAACUAUUUAAGCACUUGUAUCCACAUAGAAACUUGCUCGUUAAGCAUCAUUUUAUGACCCACUGUAUAUGUGGUCUAUGAGGUGUGAAGCCAAACAUAAGAUGUUUAAAGGUUAUUUCAAAAACAUUACAAAAUCACUUGCUAAAAAGCAUCAGAUGGCUAUUGCUUAUCACUGGGAAACCUUCACCCUCAAAUAAAAAGAGUCUGGACCAAUUAAGACUUAUUCCCUCAGAGAUGUGAAUGUGGUCAACAAUGAAAUGCUUGAAAUGAUUUUGUCAAAAGAUGUUUUCUCCACUAGUGUUAAAGUUGAUGGUGUAGAAUAUACAUGUGGACUUGUUUGUCUUUUGUCAAAUAUGUGAUGUACAUUUGGUUGAAGGUAAAACAUUUAGUUUAUUAACAAACAAGCUAUUCACCCAUAAUUCUUUUGAUGACCAUCAUCGUGCAUUUCGAGUGUUACAAAGUGAGGAAAAGUUCAUAAUAAUGUCAGCUUAAAUUCAAUAAGCAAUUUGAUAUUCAAAGCUCAUACAAUGUUUCAGAUGAAAGUUUGUACAUUAUACCAUGAAAAUGGCUUUGUUUAUUGGAAUCAAUGAAUAUAUUAUUUAAUAACAUUAAUUAGUGUUACUUUAACUCUGUUUUGUGAGUUAAAGAAGGAACUCUGGCACAGUGUUACAUAUUUAACUAUUAUGAAAGUGUGGACCUAAUAAACCCUGAAAAAGUGUUGAAAUCAACUCUGGGAGUUAAUUCAACACUGGACUUUUUGCAAGGUCCAGGGUGUGGUUUAAAAAGGUGAGUUGGUUUAUGUACAUUCUGAUUGAACCUAAUGAGAUAAACGCGUUUUUAAGGCUGUCGUUAUCGAUAUCCACAUGAA